rnacentral:lncRNA from 1 species
CCCGUCGCUGCCGAAACCGCCGCCUCUCGCAAAGGAGCCCCGAGGGCUGUGCGAGCGGUCAGAGCCUCUGCCCCGCAGGGCGACCCCGGGCAGAAGCCGCCCGCAUCCACCGCCCCGAGGGAACAUCGCUCAGCCGCAUCCCGCUGCCCGCCGCUCAAGGUCACCUCAGCGCGGGGCAGCCCUGAGGGAGCCCCCCCGGGGGUCGCCGCUCCCUGAAGCCCCCAAGCAGCGCCGGCAGAGCCGGGCCGUGCCGGACUCCUGCUCCUACCUGAGCCGGCGAGCGGAGCCGAGCCGAGCGGAGCCGCCGGGAGCGCGGAGGCGGCCGCUGUCCCCUCAGCAGCGGCGGCGGCGCCCGGGGAGUGGGGCCGCGCACGGCGCCUCCCUCCUGCGCCGGGCCGCUGCGCUGCGGUGGGCGGCGGCGGCGGCGCUCCGUCAGACUUAGCGGGGCCGCGGCGAGCGGGGAAGCCCCGGGGGGGGGGGGCGGGCAGCGCCUCUCCCCUCCCCGCCGAGGUGCCGGCCCCAGCGGAGGCUCGCCUCGCCUCCCCCGGCAGGGCUGGGGCUCCCCUCAGCGGGGAGAGGCCGGCGCCGCGCCCAGCUCCGCCGCGGCUGCAGGGGGCGCGCAGCGGCGCCCCCAGUCAGCGGGCUCGGCCCUGGGCUCCUGGGUGGGCGCCCCUCAGGCCCCGGAGCCCCGCGGAGGGAGGGGAGAAGGGGAGUCCUGGGGGGAUGUGGGGGACCCUCAGCCUUCAUCGCUCGUCAUGGCGCUAACGUUCGCCUCUCGCAGUGCGGGGGCUCGCAAAAUGUCAGGGCACCGGCGGGCACUGCGCGGUGACACCGGUGAGGGUGGCUCUGAGCUCCGCCUCGGCGAGAGGGGCUUGAAUCGCAUCUGUCAACAGCAAAAGGUCCCCACCUCGCGCCUUCUAUUCCCUCAACACUCACAGAUUUCUGUCAGUAUCCUCCACAAUAUGCAAGAAGGCCUCACCCUGACUGGAGAAGGAGGCUCUGGCCCUGGGACACAGCACCUGUCAAAGAAACAUAGCAAUGCAGAACAUCACACUUCAACAUCUGACGUAUCCUGCUGUACGAACUCACUAUCCCUGCAAAGAGGACAGUGGAAAGCAGCGAUUCACAGGCAGUGGUUGUAUGCAGCAACAGAGUGGAAGAGAUUAAAGGCUUUCUGUAAAAACUGAGAUUCAGAACUACAUAUUGUAAAAGGAAGAAAGUCUAGCACUGGAUAUAGGGUAGGAAAAAAAAAUACUAAUCCUGCAAUGUUGACCAUCAGUGCGCUUGAAAGAUCACACAUACAGAUGUUCUGAUACCAUUCCAUCAUGAG